rnacentral:rRNA from 1 species
CCUACGGGUGGCAGCAGUGGGGGAUAUUGCACAAUGGGGGAAACCCUGAUGCAGCGACGCCGCGUGAGUGAAGAAGUAUUUCGGUAUGUAAAGCUCUAUCAGCAGGGAAGAAAAUGACAGUACCUAACCAAUAAGCCCCGGCUACCUACGUGCCAGCAGCCGCGGUAAUACGUCGGGGGGACGCGGUGACCGGAUUUACUGUGUGGAAAGGGAGCGUAGACGGUGAUGUAAGGCUGGAGGGAAAGCCCAGGGGCCAAUCCCGGGACUGCUUUGGAAACUGGGUAACUGGAGUACAGGAGAGGCAGGCGGAAUUCCAGGGGUAGCGGUGAAAUGCGUAGAUAUCUGGAGGAACACCAGCGGCGAAGGCGGCCUGCUGGACUGAAACUGACGUUGAGGCUCGAAAGCGUGGGGAGCAAACAGGAUUAGAUACCCGAGUAGUC